GUUGAAGAACGCAGCGAAAUGCGAUAAGUAGUGUGAAUUGCAGAAUUCAGUGAAUCAUCGAAUCUUUGAACGCACAUUGCGCCCUUUGGUAUUCCUUAGGGCAUGCCUGUUCGAGCGUCAUUUAAACCUUCAAGCCCUGCUUGGUGUUGGGUGCCUGUCCCGCCCCCGCGCGUGGACUCACCUCAAAUCCAUUGGCGGCCCCCGCAAGGCCACGAGCGCAGCAGAAACGCAAACUCGUGUGCCCGGCGGGCGGCUCCCAGAAGCUACACCCACCAUUUUGACCUCGGAUCAGGUAGGGAUACCCGCUGAACUUAAGCAUAUCAAUAAGCGGAGGA
rnacentral:misc_RNA from 1 species